GACGAACGCUGGCGGCGCGCCUAACACAUGCAAGUCGAACGAGCGAGCGAGAGCUUGCUUUCUCAAGCGAGUGGCGAACGGGUGAGUAACGCGUGAGGAACCUGCCUCAAAGAGGGGACAACAGUUGGAAACGACUGCUAAUACCGCAUAAGCCCACAGGUCGGCAUCGACCCGAGGGAAAAGGAGCAAUCCGCUUUGAGAUGGCCUCGCGUCCGAUUAGCUAGUUGGUAAGGUAACGGCCCACCAAGGCAACGAUCGGUAGCCGGACUGAGAGGUUGAACGGCCACAUUGGGACUGAGACACGGCCCAGACUCCUACGGGAGGCAGCAGUGGGGAAUAUUGCACAAUGGGGGAAACCCUGAUGCAGCGACGCCGCGUGGAGGAAGAAGGUCUUCGGAUUGUAAACUCCUGUUGUUGAGGAAGAUAAUGACGGUACUCAACAAGGAAGUGACGGCUAACUACGUG
rnacentral:rRNA from 1 species